rnacentral:rRNA from 1 species
UGUGGAAUAUUGCACAAUGGGCGCAAGCCUGAUGCAGCCAUGCCGCGUGUAUGAAGAAGGCCUUCGGGUUGUAAAGUACUUUCAGCGGGGAGGAAGGCGAUAAGGUUAAUAACCUUGUCGAUUGACGUUACCCGCAGAAGAAGCACCGGCUAACUCCGUGCCAGCAGCCGCGGUAAUACGGAGGGUGCAAGCGUUAAUCGGAAUUACUGGGCGUAAAGCGCACGCAGGCGGUCUGUCAAGUCGGAUGUGAAAUCCCCGGGCUCAACCUGGGAACUGCAUUCGAAACUGGCAGGCUAGAGUCUUGUAGAGGGGGGUAGAAUUCCAGGUGUAGCGGUGAAAUGCGUAGAGAUCUGGAGGAAUACCGGUGGCGAAGGCGGCCCCCUGGACAAAGACUGACGCUCAGGUGCGAAAGCGUGGGGAGCAAACA